UACGGGGGGAGCAAGCGUUGUUCGGAUUUACUGGGCGUAAAGGGCGCGUAGGCGGCCAGAUUAGUCCGGUGUGAAAGUCAGAGGCUCAACCUUUGAAUGCCGCUGGAAACUGUCUGGCUUGAGUCCGGAAGGGGCGAGUGGAAUUCCUGGUGUAGCGGUGAAAUGCGCAGAUAUCAGGAGGAACACCGAUGGCGAAGGCAGGUCUCUGGGCCACUACUGACGCUGAGAAGCGAAAGCAUGGGGAGCGAACAGG
rnacentral:rRNA from 1 species